AGCCGAGCGGUAUGGAUAGCUUGCUAUCCAGAGAGCGGCGUACGGGUGCGUAACACGUGUGCAACCUGCCUUUAUCUGGGGGAUAGCCUUUCGAAAGGAAGAUUAAUACCCCAUAAUAUGGUGUCCGGCAUCGGUCGCCAUUGAAAGCCUCGGCGGAUAGAGAUGGGCACGCGCAAGAUUAGAUAGUUGGCGGGGUAACGGCCCACCAAGUCGAUGAUCUUUAGGGGUCCUGAGAGGGAGAUCCCCCACACUGGUACUGAGACACGGACCAGACUCCUACGGGAGGCAGCAGUGAGGAAUAUUGGACAAUGGGUGGAAGCCUGAUCCAGCCAUCCCGCGUGAAGGAUGACGGUUCUAUGGAUUGUAAACUUCUUUUGUACAGGGAUAAACCUGCCCUCGUGAGGGCAGCUGAAGGUACUGUACGAAUAAGCACCGGCUAACUCCGUGCCAGCAGCCGCGGUAAUACGGAGGGUGCGAGCGUUAUCCGGAUUUAUUGGGUUUAAAGGGUCCGUAGGCGGGCCUGUAAGUCAGUGGUGAAAUCUCAUAGCUUAACUAUGAAACUGCCAUUGAUACUGCAGGCCUUGAGUAAAUUUGAAGUGGCUGGAAUAAGUAGUGUAGCGGUGAAAUGCAUAGAUAUUACUUAGAACACCGAUUGCGAAGGCAGGUCACUAAGAUUUAACUGACGCUGAUGGACGAAAGCGUGGGGAGCGAACAGGAUUAGAUACCCUGGUAGUCCACGCCGUAAACGAUGCUAACUCGUUUUUGGAUCUUCGGGUUCAGAGACCAAGCGAAAGUGAUAAGUUAGCCACCUGGGGAGUACGUCCGCAAGGAUGAAACUCAAAGGAAUUGACGGGGGCCCGCACAAGCGGUGGAUUAUGUGGUUUAAUUCGAUGAUACGCGAGGAACCUUACCAAGACUUAAAUGGGAAUUGACAGAUUUAGAAAUAGAUCCUCCUUCGGGCAAUUUUCAAGGUGCUGCAUGGUUGUCGUCAGCUCGUGCCGUGAGGUGUUAGGUUAAGUCCUGCAACGAGCGCAACCCCUGCCAACAGUUGCCAUCAUUCAGUUGGGGACUCUGUUGGGACUGCCUACGCAAGUAGAGAGGAAGGUGGGGAUGACGUCAAAUCAUCACGGCCCUUACGUCUUGGGCCACACACGUAAUACAAUGGCCGGUACAGAGGGCAGCUACCUGGUGACAGGAUGCGAAUCUCGAAAGCCGGUCUCAGUUCGGAUUGGAGUCUGCAACUCGACUCUAUGAAGCUGGAAUCGCUAGUAAUCGCGCAUCAGCCAUGGCGCGGUGAAUACGUUCCCGGGCCUUGUACACACCGCCCGUCAAGCCAUGGAAGUCUGGGGUACCUGAAGUCGGUGACCGUAAU
rnacentral:rRNA from 1 species